CUACGACCAUAUCACGUUGAUACACCGUUUCGAUCACCAAAGUUAAGCAAGGCCGAGCGUGGUCAGUACAUAGAUGGGUGAGCGCUUGGGAAUAUCAGGUGUUGUAAG